ACUCCUACGGGAGGCAGCAGUGGGGAAUAUUGGACACUGGGCGCAAGCCUGAUCCAGCCAUGCCGCGUGAGUGAUGAAGGCCCUAGGGUUGUAAAGCUCUUUCACCGGUGAAGAUAAUGACGGUAACCGGAGAAGAAGCCCCGGCUAACUUCGUGCCAGCAGCCGCGGUAAUACGAAGGGGGCUAGCGUUGUUCGGAUUUACUGGGCGUAAAGCGCACGUAGGCGGACUAUUAAGUCAGGGGUGAAAUCCCGGGGCUCAACCCCGGAACUGCCUUUGAUACUGGUAGUCUUGAGUUCGAGAGAGGUGAGUGGAAUUCCGAGUGUAGAGGUGAAAUUCGUAGAUAUUCGGAGGAACACCAGUGGCGAAGGCGGCUCACUGGCUCGAUACUGACGCUGAGGUGCGAAAGCGUGGGGAGCAAACAGGAUUAGAUACCCCAGUAGUCCCA
rnacentral:rRNA from 1 species